AGCAGCCGCGGUAAUUCCAGCUCCAAUAGCGUAUAUUAAAGUUGUUGCAGUUAAAAAGCUCGUAGUUGAAUUUCGGGAUCAGUUUGUUGGUCGUGCUUCGGUACGUACUGUCAUUACUGGUUUCUACCUUCUGAAGAACCUUGAUGUCAUUAAUUUGGUGUCUUGGGGAAUCAGGACUGUUACUUUGAAAAAUUAGAGUGUUUAAAGCAAGCUAACGCUUGAAUACAUUAGCAUGGAAUAAUGAAAUAGGACGUUCGAUCCUAUUUUGUUGGUUUCUAGGAUUGACGUAAUGAUUAAUAGGGAUAGUUGGGGGCAUUAGUAUUCAAUUGUCAGAGGUGAAAUUCUUGGAUUUAUUGAAGACUAACUACUGCGAAAGCAUUUGCCAAGGAUGUUUUCAUUAAUCAAGAACGAAAGUUAGGGGAUCGAAGACGAUCAGAUACCGUCGUAGUCUUAACCAUAAACUAUGCCGACUAGGGAUCGGAUGAUGUUAAUUUUUAAUGACUCAUUCGGCGCCUUACGG
rnacentral:rRNA from 1 species